CGCAUGGUGAAUGCCUUGGUACUAGGAGCCGAUGAAGGACGGGACUAACACCGAUAUGCUUCGGGGAGCGGUAAGUACGCUUUGAUCCGGAGAUUUCCGAAUGGGGAAACCCAGUCAGUUUAAUCGCUGACUACUUGACUAGUGAAUACAUAGCUAGCAAGAGGUAGACGCAGUGAACUGAAACAUCUUAGUAGCUGCAGGAAGAGAAAGAAAAAUCGAUUCCCUGAGUAGCGGCGA
rnacentral:rRNA from 1 species